CAACCCUCAAGCUAAGCUUGGUCUUGGGCACUGCCGGCGACGGCUUGCCUCAAAAUUAGUGGCGGUGCCAUUCAAGCUCUACGCGUAGUAAUUUUAAUCCCUCGCGAUUGAGUCUUGGUGGAUGCUUGCCAGCAACCUCAUUUUUUAU
rnacentral:misc_RNA from 1 species